GAGUGAACAUACAGCAUUAGUACCCUCAACAAGGAAGUACCUUGAGCUUUGGAAUGCUUCACAGAAAAUGAGGAGAAACACUAUUCAUUUGCAACAUUUUUCCCAACCCUAUUCAUUUCCUAAGUCCUAAAGAUUGAGUCUACAGUGGCCAAAGGUCAGGACCAUGCUGGUGAUCAGUAUUCUGUGGUGUGGAGACACUCUUUGGCAUGAAUGAAUUGUUGUCCCUCCAUCACUAUGCA
rnacentral:lncRNA from 1 species